GGCUGUCUUGGGGCACACCCGGCGACAUCCGUGUGCGGCCUCGCCUCGGCUGGCUGGACGAACAAGAAGAGUGUGGUGACACCAUAUGGAAACACCUGAUGUUCCACAGCGGAAGAGGCCCCUGAUGGAUGAGCGGGGAAGGCCGGUUCUCGGGCCACUGACUGUUUUUCUGACACCUGGUCAAGUGAAUUAUGGACAGUCCCCGGGGCGAACAGUGCGGUCGCAGGCGAAUCAGGAGAGCUGCUGAUACGGGGACAUGGGACGAAUAUAAACGGGAGUCGUUGAAAUAAAAGCUCCGUGGGGGCUCUACCAA